rnacentral:rRNA from 1 species
AUUGAACGCUGGCGGCAGGCCUAACACAUGCAAGUCGAGCGGAGCGGCGGACGGGGGAGUAAUGCCUAGGAAUCUGACUGGUAGUGGUGGAUAACGUCAGGUAACGGGCGCUAAUACCGCAUACACUUAGAUGAGCCUGGGUCGGAUUAGCUAGUUGGUGGGGUAAAGGCCCACCAAGGCGACGAUCCGUAACUGGGCUGAGAGGAUGAUCAGUCACACUGGAACUGAGACACGGUCCAGACUCCUACGGGAGGCAGCAGUGGGGAAUAUUGGACAAUGGGCGAAAGCCUGAUCCAGCCAUGCCGCGUGUGUGAAGAAGGUCUUCGGAUUGUAAAGCACUUUAAGUUGGGAGGCGUUACCAACAGAAUAAGCACCGGCUAACUCCGUGCCAGCAGCCGCGGUAAUUC